UACGGGGGGGGCAAGCGUUUGUUCGGAAUUACUGGGCGUAAAGGGCUCGUAGGCGGCCAACUAAGUCAGACGUGAAAUCCCUCGGCUUAACCGGGGAACUGCGUCUGAUACUGGAUGGCUUGAGUUUGGGAGAGGGAUGCGGAAUUCCAGGUGUAGCGGUGAAAUGCGUAGAUAUCUGGAGGAACACCGGUGGCGAAGGCGGCAUCCUGGA
rnacentral:rRNA from 1 species